rnacentral:rRNA from 1 species
ACGCUCGACACCUACGGGAGGCAGCAGUGGGGAAUAUUGGGCAAUGGGCGCAAGCCUGACCCAGCAACGCCGCGUGAAGGAAGAAGGCUUUCGGGUUGUAAACUUCUUUUGUCAGGGAACAGUAGAAGAGGGUACCUGACGAAUAAGCUCCGGCUAACUACGUGUCAGCAGCCGCGGUAAUCUGAGCGGGCUGGCAAGGC